rnacentral:rRNA from 1 species
UACAGGGGGUGCAAACGUUGCUCGGAAUCAUUGGGCGUAAAGCGCGCGUAGGCGGUCAUUUAUGUCGGAUGUGAAAGCCCUUGGCUUAACUGAGGAAGAGCAUCCGAAACUGAAUGGCUUGAGUACCAAAGAGGGUCGCGGAAUUCCCGGUGUAGAGGUGAAAUUCGUAGAUAUCGGGAGGAACACCGGUGGCGAAGGCGGCGACCUGGGUGGAAACUGACGCUGAGGCGCGAAAGCGUGGGGAGCAAACAGG